GACGAACGCUGGCGGCGUGCUUAACACAUGCAAGUCGAACGGUGAAGCGCCUUCCUUUUUGGUGGGUGUGGAUGAGUGGCGAACGGGUGAGUAACACGUGAGUAACCUGCCCCCUUCUUCUGGAUAACCGCAUGAAAGUGUUGCUAAUACGGGAUAUUCUGGGUCUGUCGCAUGAUGGGUCUGGGAAAGUUAUUGUGUCGGUUGGGGAUGGGCUCGCGGCCUAUCAGCUUGUUGGUGGGGUGAUGGCCUACCAAGGCGGUGACGGGUAGCCGGCCUGAGAGGGUGGACGGUCACGCUGGGACUGAGCCACGGCCCAGACUCCGACGGGAGGCAGCAGGGGGGAAUAUUGCACAAUGGGCGCAAGCCUGAUGCAGCGCCGCCGCGGGAGGGAUGGAGGCCUUCGGGUUGUGAACCUCUUUCGCCAGUGAAGCAGGCCUGCACCGUUUGUGGGUGGGUUGACGGUAGCUGGAUAAGAAGCGCCGGCUAACUACGUG
rnacentral:rRNA from 1 species